rnacentral:rRNA from 1 species
GAUGAACGCUAGCGGGAGGCCUAACACAUGCAAGCCGAGCGGUAGAUUACUUUCGGGUGAUUGAGAGCGGCGUACGGGUGCGGAACACGUGUGCAACCUGCCUUUAUCAGGGGGAUAGCCUUUCGAAAGGAAGAUUAAUACCCCAUAAUAUAUUAUUCGGCAUCGGGUGAUAUUGAAAACUACGGUGGAUAGAGAUGGGCACGCGCAAGAUUAGCUAGUUGGUGAGGUAACGGCUCACCAAGGCGACGAUCUUUAGGGGGCCUGAGAGGGUGAUCCCCCACACUGGUACUGAGACACGGACCAGACUCCUACGGGAGGCAGCAGUGAGGAAUAUUGGACAAUGGGUGGAAGCCUGAUCCAGCCAUCCCGCGUGCAGGAAGACGGCCCUAUGGGUUGUAAACUGCUUUUAUAUGGGGAUAAACCUACUUACGUGUAAGUAGCUGAAGGUACCAGAAGAAUAAGCACCGGCUAACUCCGUG